rnacentral:rRNA from 1 species
CCCUUAGAUGUUCUGGGCCGCACGCGCGCUACACUGAUGAAUUCAACGAGCCUAUCCUUGACCGACAGGUCCGGGUAAUCUUUGAAUCUGCAUCGUGACGGGGAUAGAUUAUUGCAAUUAUUAAUCUUCAACGAGGAAUGCCUAGUAGGCGCAAGUCAUCAGCUUGCGUCGAUUACGUCCCUGCCCUUUGUACACACCGCCCGUCGCUCCUACCGAUUGGGUGUGCUGGUGAAAUGUUCGGAUCGGCCGUUUGUCGCGGUUUCCGCGGCUCGUGGCUGAGAAGUUCAUUAAACCCUCCCACCUAGAGGAAGGAGAAGUCGUAACA